GCAGUGGUGGUUCAGUGGUAGGGUUUUUGCCUUUCAUGCAGGAGACUUGGAUUCUAUUCCUGGCCAAUGCA
rnacentral:tRNA from 1 species